rnacentral:tRNA from 1 species
GCCUGGCUAGCUCAGUUGGUGGAGCAUGGGACUCUUAAUCCCAGGGUUGUGGGUUCUUGCCCCAUGUUGGGCA